rnacentral:rRNA from 1 species
UUCGGGUAAGUUAGCGGCGGACGGGUGAGUAACACGUGGGUAACCUGCCCAUAAGACUGGGAUAACAUUCGGAAACGAAUGCUAAUACCGGAUACGCGAAGCGGUCGCAUGAUCGAAUCGGGAAAGGCGGAGCAAUCUGCCACUUAUGGAUGGACCCGCGGCGCAUUAGCUAGUUGGUGGGGUAACGGCUCACCAAGGCGACGAUGCGUAGCCGACCUGAGAGGGUGAUCGGCCACACUGGGACUGAGACACGGCCCAGACUCCUACGGGAGGCAGCAGUAGGGAAUCUUCCGCAAUGGACGAAAGUCUGACGGAGCAACGCCGCGUGAGUGAUGAAGGUUUUCGGAUCGUAAAGCUCUGUUGCCAGGGAAGAACGCUUGCGAGAGUAACUGCUCUUUAUUGUGACGGUACCUGAGAAGAAAGCCCCGGCUAACUACGUGCCAGCAGCCGCGGUAAUACGUAGGGGGCAAGCGUUGUCCGGAAUUAUUGGGCGUAAAGCGCGCGCAGGCGGCCUUGUAAGUCUGUCGUUUAAACUCGGAGCUCAACUUCGAGUCGCGAUGGAAACUGCAAAGCUUGAGUGCAGAAGAGGAAAAGUGGAAUUUCCACGUGUAGCGGUGAAAUGCCGUAAUAGAUGUGGAGGAACACCCAGUUGGCGAAGGCGACCUUUCUGGGCUGUAACUGAACGCUGGAGGCGC